rnacentral:rRNA from 1 species
UACGAAGGGGGCUAGCGUUGCUCGGAAUGACUGGGCGUAAAGGGCGCGUAGGCGGUUUGUACAGUCAGGUGUGAAAUUCCCGGGCUCAACCUGGGGGCUGCACUUGAUACGUAUGGACUGGAGUGGGGAAGAGGGUCGUGGAAUUCCCAGUGUAGAGGUGAAAUUCGUAGAGAUCGGGAGGAACACCAGUGGCGAAGGCGGCUACCUGGACCAGCACUGACACUGAGGCACGAAAGCGUGGGGAGCAAACAGG